GCAUUUAAAACAAGUAAUGUUCCUGAGAUAAAUGUACAUUAAUCUGCAGAUCUAACCCUCACCUUUAAAAAGAUUUUGUAUGCAUUGGGAUCCAUUGGUGUUGUUUUGCUGAAUGCUGCUGCACUGAUGACAGAAAUGAUACUAAAAACAGGUGAGCAAACACACCACUUACAUCAAUUUGAUGUUAUUUAACAAAGCUGUCAUAAAGAUUGAUUUUUAUUUUAUCCUCAGUUAAUGGUGAGCGUGCAGUUGGCGAUUUGAGAAUUGUUGUCUUCUCCUCUGAAAGCAUCUUUACUCUUUCUCUGCUGAUUUUGCUCAUGUUUGGAUGCUGGAUUUCAGACAUGAAGUCUCUGAAGUGUUGUCAGACCCAGAAUGCUGCAGCAUCUGAUGAAACUCCAGCCACUGGAUCAAACCAAAAUCAAAUUGCAACAGAAUCACAUGAAAUGAAUCCUGUACUGAAUCAAGAUCAGGAGCCUGGUGUGAGUGACACGACAAAAACUAAUACAGAUUCAGGUGAAUCACAAACAUUCAAUGAGGGAAGAAAACUCAACCUGAUCCCACAUUUCCUUGAACUCUGAGUGCUGCGCUGCUUAAAAAAACAAAAAACAAAGUGACCUAGCUUGAAACAAUAAGUCAACCUAUAACAGUCACCUUAAGUUAACUCACCUGUUAUGCCUCAUGGCUCAAAAGGGAUGUAACAGAAAUAGGGACAUAUGAGAAAGCCAAAAUUGAAUGCAAAAAAUUAAAGUAAACUAUACUGAACCUUUUGAAAAAGAAAAAAAAAUCUUGUCAAUGCAACAAGAUUGUUUAAAGUGGAAGAGAAGCAGUCAGUAAAGUUCACAUUAUUUAGUAGACUGAAUUCCACUUUAAUAAAAAAAAAAUUAAAUAGUACACACACACACACACACACACACACACAUACAGUCCUUCUACAAAAAUUAGACAUACAUAUGAGAAAGCCAAAAUUGAAUGCAAAAUUAAAGUAAACUAUACUGAACCUUUUGAAAAGAAAAAUACUUGUCAAUGCAACAAGAUUGUUUAAAGU
rnacentral:lncRNA from 1 species